rnacentral:rRNA from 1 species
AGUGAACGCUGGCGGUAGGCCUAACACAUGCAAGUCGAAAGGCAGCACAGUAAGAGCUUGCUCUUACGGGUUGCGAGUGGCGGACGGGUGAGGAAUACAUCGGAAUCUACUUUUUCGUGGGGGAUAACGUAGGGAAACUUACGCUAAUACCGCAUACGACCUACGGGUGAAAGCAGGGGAUCUUCGGACCUUGCGCGAUUGAAUGAGCCGAUGUCGGAUUAGCUAGUUGGCGGGGUAAAGGCCCACCAAGCCGACGAUCCGUAGCUGGCCUGAGUGGAUGAUCGGCCACACUAGAACUGAGGCGCGGUCCUGACUCCUGCGGGAGGCAGCAGUGGGGAAUAUUGGACAAUGGGCGCAAGCCUGAUCCAGCCAUACCGCGUGGGUGAAGAAGGCCUUCGGGUUGUAGAGCCCUUUUGUUGGGAAAGAAAAGCAGCAGGUUAAUACCCCGCUGUUCUGACGGUACCCAAAGAAUAAGCACCGGCUAACUUCGUG